AAGUCGUAACAAGGUUUCCGUAGGUGAACCUGCGGAAGGAUCAUUAAUGAAUCUUGAAAGGGGUUGUAGCUGGCCUUUUCGUUUGAGAGGCAUUUUGUGCACACCCUGAUCAUCAUCCAUUUCAGACACCUGUGCACAUACUGUAGGUUGGUUUGUGAGGCAGGCACUUUCAUCGGUGCAGCUUUGUGAGCCUUCCUAUGUUUUUAUUAUAAACAACUGUCGUUUAAAGAAUGUUUAUUGCGUGCAACGCAUCUACAUAUACAACUUUCAGCAACGGAUCUCUUGGCUCUC
rnacentral:misc_RNA from 1 species